CUGGGUCUUCCAAUUGUGCAAUUACUAACGCAAUAUUCACAUGAUUAAAAGCCUUCUCAUAAGUACCGUUUUUAUGGCUCCACAGCACACAACUGCUCCUUGCGGAUGACGCAUCACUGAGACAUCUGCCUGGGUUUCCUCCAGCUGUGACAAACCAGGAAGUGGUGGACGGCAGCAGUUUCUGCUGAGCAGAACAGGUUCGGGGGAAGCCUGCAGUUCCUCUCUGUUGAGGUGGGGGUUCCUCCAACCAGGUUCAC
rnacentral:lncRNA from 1 species